CAAUUUCUCAAGGGCAAUGCCAAUGGGAUGUUAAUCUGCUACGGGCAGCGGCGGUGCAUCAAGGUGCAAGGCAGCAGCGACGUGUUCAUAGUACGCUAAAGGAUGAGCUCCUACUUUUUCUGGUGCUAGCUCAUUGCUGCAGAUAUACAUGCCUGCUUAUAUCACCCAAGAUCUCCUUCUCCUGGUCAAGACAAUUGCACAUGAGAAGCCACUCAUUUUAGCAAGGCGAUGGUGUGCGAACCUUGUGCGCCUUCCUAGCUGUAUUGCGCCCCGAGGAUGCGGCGGAAGUGGCACAUGAUGAAAGAGGAAUAAUUGAAGCCCCAAUGCCUCCACAAAUUCUUGCUCCCUUACAAUGGGAGUACUAGGUUCGGUCCCCGCUGCGUUCAUGCUCAUCGGCGGGACGGUGCACGGCGCAACCCCGACGCAGUUCCUCACCGUUUGAACGGCGUUAAGGCGCAACCCCGGCGCCUACUCAGUACUACCUCGGCUACAACCUCCCUCGGUGAGCUCCAUCUUCCCCCUGUUCCUCUGCUUCCAUUAGUGUAUGGGACAUGGCCGUGGCUAUAUUGAUGUGGUGCUCAUCUGGUUGAGGCUCUAUGCCCUGCUCAUGCUUCGAUUCCUACUUGAGCUCUGUACUUGCUAUUCUAGGGUUCGCAGGCUGCUGUUCAUGUUUAGUUGCUAUCAUAGGAGCUCCUAUGAUGCUCUGGUUUACAUGUGGAUGCCCUGGUCCUAUAGCUAUGCUCAUUUGCUAAAUUGAUUAGUGGUGUUCGUGCUGGGGCGAUGAUGAUCAACCGUUGAUGAAAUAAGUGUGCCUUUGAGCAACCGAGGCACCUGUGGGUAUGAAGUUGGAUCCUCCCUAUUGUCUCUAGAAUCCUUUCUGAUCAUGUGAUACUUGUUGUUCUGUCCUUGGAUGUCCAUUCUUGUUGAGUGAUAACCAGGGCAGCUCCACUAUAUAAACAUAUUGAUCUGGUGAUAAGAGAUGACCGAGGUAGGUUAUAUGAUCGAGGAAAGGCGAAUCUAAGCCCACUGUUCAAUGAACCCUGAACCCUUUUUAUUUAUCUAUUUAUAGGUGUUGCUUAUUUAUGUCCCAGUGAUUAUAGCCAUCUUACGUGGUUUACAUGUGGAUGCCCUGG